AUAAUUUCAUAGAUGCCCCUCUAGAAACUAUUAAUUUCAUCAAUACCCUUCCAAAAUUAAUAAUAUCACAAAUACCCUCCAAAAUGUGAAAAAUUAUCAUAAAUACCCUCCUCUAGUUAAGAUUCAUUAAAGCCCAUUUGAAUCGGAGUUAAAUUUUUAAAAUACCAUUUUUACCCUUUAUCUCUUUUUAAUAGUAGAAAUACUAAUAGGUAUUUCAAAAUAAUUUUUGUAAAUCUAAAUUUGAGUAUUUAAUAUAUAAAUAGUUAAUUAAAUUAUUAAUAUAUAUUAAUUAAUAAAAAAUAUAUAAAAAUUGUAUUUUAAAUAUAGUAUGUUUUUAUCUGAUUUUGGUUUUGUUUUUGGUUUUGGGUUUCGGUUCAGAUUCGGUUUAAAUAUAGACCAAAACUAUAUAACUGAAUUUACAUACGACGGGAUUUUAUUUUUUGGUAUCUAUAACUAAAACUAUCCCCUAUUCAGCAUUGAUUAAACUUAUCCCAUUUUAAAUCGAGUUUAGAUAAAAUUCCGUAUCUAUAUCAAUUCACAUUCCUAAUUAGUAAUAGUAAUUUUGAAAUAAAUUAUAGAUUUUAUUUUUUUCCUAUUUAAAAAUAAAUCACAUAAUUGUUUUGUCGAUUGAAAUAAAAAGAGAGUUUUGUUCAAAAGCUAAAAUAUAUUAUAUUUCAGUUUUUUAAUACACUUAAUGCAGAUAAAAUUAUCGAGAAUAAUUUUGAUUAAAAAAUUUUUUAAGUUUUCAAGAUUAAAGAAAGAUCGGAUAAUUCCUUAACAUUAUUUUCAUUUAAAUUUUUAUAUAUAGUUAUUUAUUUGAUAAAAAAUAAAUAGAGCCAUUAGAUUUGGUAAAAUCAUCAAAAAAAACUAAAAAAUUUUUUUUUUUUUAUACACUGAAAUUAGGUUUUUUUUAUAAAUAAAAAGUUAAUGGGAUAUCAACUAAAAAAUGAAAGUUGAGGGAGCUGUUUCAAAAUGCAUAUAGUUGAGGGGGUUUCCACACAUUUUUAGUUAAAAGAUAUUUGAGGGUAAAUAAGUCAUUUUAAAAAUUAACCCAUCUUUAACCAUGUAAUAACUAUAGUAAAACUAACCUAACUAACAGUAGGGGUAUUAAUGAUAAUUUUUUGUGUUUAUAGGGGUAUUGGUGAUAUUUUAAACUUUAUAGGGGCAUCUAUGAUAUUUUAAACUUUGGGAGGGGUAUCCAUGAAAUUGCCCCUAUUAUAUAUUAGCUGAUGAUCCCGUGCAUUAUGAGAAGUGCUAGAUGUACAACCCUCUUUGGACUGUAAUUCUACAACUUUUCUUGUUCAAAUGCCUCUUUUUUUUUUUUUCUUCCACUUGUUUUAUCACUUUUUUUUUCCUUUUUUUUUACGAAAAAUUGAAAUUGGGUCGGUAAAUCUUAUAAUACUUGGACGAGGAGUUAUAAGAAUUACAAUCUAUUUUGAUUGUAGGCUUAGCAUUUUUCAUGCAUUAGAUAAGUUAUAAAUGCGAUAGUACCAUGUAUCCCAAUAAUUUGGUAUAGUGGGGUGAUUGCAUUAAUAAAGCGCAUUGCACAUGCUUCUCACUUUCUUGCACAAGAAGGUAAAGAGAGAGACUUUUGUACCACAAAGAAGAGGAAAAAGAGAGAGACAUUUCGUAGCCCAUUGAAGGUAGAGAACAAGUUCAAUUUCCAAGGCAGAUAACCUACCACAAUUGGACAAUCUUGACUUACUAGGCAUAUUUAUAUGUAAGUAGCUUGUGCUUUGCAAACUCUAUGAGGAAUGUAACGUACAAUCAAAUUAUUACUGCGUAUAAUAACAAGAACCGUGUUGAAUAUCUUUGUAUGUACGUAAAAUUUAGUUGAUGAAUCAGUUUUUGCAUGCAUAUAUCUAAGAGUUCGGUAGUGAUUAAUUCUCUAACUGUUGAUGUAUAUGCAUAGUUUAGGUCGGGCGUCUUAGAGUCAUAACUUGAAUUAAUUUAAAAAACUAAACUAAUGAUUUACGAUCAUAUUGUGUCUAAAAAUAACUCACGAAUUCAAUUUAGAAAUACAUUGUAAUACAUACAAUAUGGGUUUUAUGCAGGUCUCUAUCUUUGUACCUAUCAUGAUAUUAGAAUAGCGUACACCGACCAGUGCAUAGCUAGCUAGAAAAUUGGGCGCUGUCACUACCAUGUCCCUGUAACAGUUGCACUACGAAAUGUAGGAUUGAAAAAUCUUAAUCCAAUCAAAUCUUAUCAUCUAUCGUACAUAUUUAUCAUUUUUAACAGCAAUGAUCACUAUAAUAAUUUUAAAUCCGACCUCCUCCGAAUCUUAUGAUUUGUAAGAUAAUAAAUUUAUCGAUAGAAAAAAAAGAAGUUGUAUGGAAUCUUAAUAUAUGGAAGAUAUUGUUUCGUGGAACACUUUAUCUUUAUAGAUACGAUGACGAGCGAAAACGAAAGGGAGAUGAAUCAAGCUAAACACGUGAAAGAGUUGGGCUCCAAUCUCUACAAAGAUUGCACGAAUCUCAGUCGCCGCUCAAACGUCGCUUAAUGGAUAUAUAAUUGAGAUCUUUCUUAAAGCGACUCCACGAUGGCCACGUCACCAUCCACUUCCAUGCACGUUACGAGUUCAAAGUCAUGCAUGCAAACAAGCCUCACGAAAAGCACAUCAUCAACUACUUAUCUUACUUACGUAUAUAGUUUGGUGAGUCGUGUGAUUGACAGUUUGUUCAAAGUUUUAAAACUCUAUUUUAAUAUAAAAGUUUUGAUUUGAAUCUUAAUACUGUAUUGGAUGAUGAAUUUAGGGGAUCCUAGAGGGAGAGAACGAGUCGUUCCUUCCCCGUUCAAGCUAUUAACUGCCGUGGAAUUUUAUAGAAAAAUUAUUGUAUAUAUCUACUGUAGUGGAUGCAUCCAUAGUAUUUAAAUUUUAUAUUAGAAGCUCUCAUAUUUAUAUUUAAUUUGUUAAAUAUUAUAUAUAAUACUUAAAAACGAGCACAUACAUAGUUUAAUUAUAUAUUACCGCUUAGAUUAGUUGGUAUCUUAAUUACAUGAUAGUAAUAUAGUAGAUAUAAGGCUGUGAUUGGGUUCUAGCUCUAAGCAAAAGAAUACGUGUCGGAUCAACAUAUAUUUUAAAUUUUAAUUUCAAUAUAUUUUGAUGUUUGCUAGUUAAUAGCUAGAUUUAUUUUUUUUUUGAGAAAUAGGUAGCAAGCUACCUGCUUCAUUCAUUAAGCAAAAUAAACUAAGCGUACAAAAUGGAAGCAGCCAGGGCCUCCGAAAGAACAGGCAAAAAGGAUGAAAUAAAAUUGAAAGGCAGAAAGAAAACAAAAAGAACAAAAAAAAGGAAAAAAGGAAGGGUGUUAAUAGGGAGAGAAGGGAUAGUAGCUGGAGCCGAAACAACACAUCACAGCAAAGAGUUCCAGUCGUUUAGCAGAAGUUUGACACGUUCAAGAGACCGGGUAGCGUUGUGCGUGGUUCCUCGGAAAAUUGCGUUAUUUCUAUCUGUCCAGAUCACCCACCAAGUUGCAGCGAGGAGGGUCAAGCGUCGUGUUCUUGAAGAGUCGACCGGAAUGUCACACGAUCCAGUCCAGAGAGUGUUGACGUCGCCCGUGCUGUCAUCAAAUGUACCCCAUCCUUUCAUACUGAAGAGCAGGUAUCUUACAUAUACGCAUGUAUAGAAUAGAUGGUCACAGCUUUCCAUGAGUACCGCGCAGAAGACACAGUGCUGAUCAACGAGCAUUCCACGUUUGAGUAGUCUAUCAGCAGUGAGUAAUCUCUUCCGCAAUAGCAACCAAAUGAAGACUUUGAUUUUGGCCGGAAUUUUGAGUUUCCAGAUAUACCGAUUCGUUGGGAUAUACUGUCCCGUGUCUGUGAUGAACUGGUAGAGGGAUUUGACAGUGAACAGUUGAUUGGAGGUCCAUCUCCAUUUAAUUGAGUCUGGACUGUCGUAGGGGCGAUGGCCUCGGAGCAAGUCUUUAAAAGUCGUUAACUGUCUGCGGUUUUCGAUGGAUUGUGACGCCGAGUAGCCGCGGCAUAUAAAGCGCCAUCUCCAUCCGCCGUGGUUCCAGCACUGAGAAACCCGAGCCUCCUUGUUCAUAGAGAUCUGAUAGAUAUCCGGGAAACGAGUGCGAAGGGGGGUUUCCCCUAUCCAGAUGUCAUUCCACAUCCUAAUGUUCCUCCCGUCGCCUAGCUCGUAAGUCACGCCACAGGCGAAAAUGUCUCGACACCGGACCACACCUUUAUUUUUUUCACAAAUUUAACACUAUUAGUUUUUACAACUAUUUACUAUUUGGAUAGGAAAAUUUUAAAAGUAACUCAUUAAAGGUUAGUAGAACAUUAUUUGUCCUCUAAGUACAAGAUCCUUUAAUCGGCGAUCGACAUGUCCCAUUAAUCAAGCGGUCCCCAUGGGACAUGGUGAAUCAAAUAACAUGGAAUCAUAUAGAGACAUACGUAUAGCUUCUGAUUACGUGUGAGAUAUUUGGACCAUGUUGAGAUUGGCUGUAGCAUUUCCACGUCACUAUGAUCUUGUUCCACACGUCUUUUUACAAAGUUGUAGGGCCAAAAGAGUGGGAAUCUACUACAGGUCAUCAAACCUAAUAGUCUUUUGCAAAGUAGAUGCUAACUAAUAAUACAUCAAUUAUAUAGACCUUUGUUUAGACUUGGCAAAUGGGCGAGUUGGAUAAUUUACGGGUGGGUCAUUGUACUAACGGAUUACUUGGACAUGGGUAAAAUUACCAUAAAUUUUUGGAUAGCCAAUAUCUUUACCCAUACCUAGCUGCGGGUGGGCAGCUGGGUAUGCGUUUUACCUGCAAUUUUUUUUNUUUCUCUUAUAUUUUUUAAAUGCAAAACACACACACACACACACACACACAUAUAUAUAUAUUAAAAGCAUAACAUAACUCAUUAUUUAAAAUAUUAUAACUUACAAUAAAAAUAUGUAAAGUUUUAAAACAAAAAUAUUUCAUAAUAUAAAAGACACACGGUAAUAAAUUAGGGUUAAAAUUUUUAAAAUGGAUAAAUAAAAAAAUAUUUUUUAAUUACAAAAUAUAUGUGCGGGUAUCCGUGGAUACCUGCGGGUUAUCAAAAAUAUUCAUAGCUUAAUGGGUGCCCACCUGUUUUACUUGUAAUUUUUUAGGUUGAAAAAGUUGGUAUUCAUACUUGCAAAUUUGCGGGUAAUCUGCGGACACCUGCGGGUAUGGGUCGAGAUUGCCAAGUCUACCUGUGUUGGAAAAUAAUACAAAUUAACCCAAAAUGUUAGUAGUCCGUGCAACAAUAUGAUAUGUUGUUGUAAGUGUAUGAAAUUAGUGCACUGAUCAAAUUAGUUUAGAAACUCAUAUGCAAUAGUAGGUUUAGUUAUUAUCUAGAUUUGUGGAAAUUAAUUAAUAGUAGACUAGUGAUUGAUUUGUGGAAAUAGUGGCUUGGUAAGUGAAGUUCAUGAUGGAGUGAGGUUUUCGAAACUUACGCGCAAUAGUGGGUUUAACGGAGAAAAUUAAUGUGUUGAACGAAAUUUUCUUUGCAAUUUUGUUCUUCAAUUUGUAAUCAUGUUGCUUUCUAGUGUGUUAAAAAAAUUACUUCUUCUAUUCCAUUGUCUUUAUGUACUGUAGCAAUUAAUCUACUAUUUUCUACUUAACUUUUUCUUCCACCACCAACCUGAUCAUAUACUCUAACAAAUUUUGUUUUAAAUUGAUAAUUAAAUAUUAAAUUUGGUCACUAUUAAUCAGUAAUUGAAUAUAACUAAAUCAAACAAAUCUGAUUUAUUCAUAUUAAAAACAGUUUUAUCAAUGUCACUUCCUAUUUAAGAAAGAUCGACUGAUCAAUACUAAAGGGGGGAAUUGGGUCCAUACAGUCCCUUAAUUUUUAUUCUAUUUAACAAAUUAACAAAUGCGUUUGCCUUUUUUAGCUUUGGAUAUGUGGAAAAGCACAUGAGCGGGUAUAUUAGUUAGCAAAGCAAGAGUGGGCGGAAUUUAAUUAAUGCACACCACAUAUAAUUAUGUGAAGCUUGAAAUCUUAGAUUAUCAGUGAAGUAGUUGUCUUGUUGUUUUCUAAUUAAUCAACACAACCAACCUAUUUUUAAGCAGGAAUAGUGCUAGUGAUUGAUGUGAAUUAACAUGAAGGAUUCGCUAAGCAAUUGCUAUGCGAAUUCCACUUAUUAUGGUAGCUAUGAGUAUUCAUUAUCUCAAUUUGACAAGGAGAGAUAUAUAACUAAAUAGUGAUAUAGUUGGCAAUGCAUGAAGAAUUAACUAGUUAAGGUACUCGUAAAUUGAUGCAUGCAAUGUAUGAAGAAUUAACUAGUUAAGGUACUAGUAGAUUGAUGCAUGCAAUCCUUCGAAAAUUUACUCUCAACACACUAAACCAUAAGUUAACAUGUAAUCUACAUAUAAGCGCGCACACAUAUAUAGAGUCGGACUCUCUCUCUCUCUCUCUCUCUCUCUCUCGAUCUAUAUAUACAUGUUUAUACUAAGUGAUCUUAAUUAUAUGGGUUCCAUUAAUUUGUACUUUCAAAAACUUUAUCCCUGCGUACACGUUUCUCUGUGGGAGACCUUUUAGUUCAAAAUCAAUGUGAAUUGGGUGGCUUCCCUGCUUAUAGUAAAGGAUUUUUUCAUGAAUUAAUACAAUUUUAAAUAAGCGCAUGCAUCUAGCUAGUACAUUAGUAGAACCCAAAGUAGCUGAAAAUUAAACAACAUGAUAACAAAAACACUGAUUAAUUGUUCCUAUCAUAUAUAAGUAUCAAAGAGCUUGAUAAUUGGUACCUGAAAUAUCAAAUUUAAAAUUUAAUUACUUCACAUUUAACUAAGUUCAUUUCUUAAAAAUAUAAACAAAGAAUGUAGCAUAUACUUCCAUUCUCUCCCCCUCCCUCCCCCUCCCCAAAAAGAAGAAAACCAAAAAAAAAAAAAAACAAGAUAACAAAAACAACAUAUAUUAAUUGAUCCAAGUAUGGUCUCUUUCCUGGAAACAUAAGGCAAGUGAGUAGGAUAUAUGUCUUUCCCCGAAUCUCUCGAUAUACGGGAGAUUAUAUUCUCCAUUUCAUGAUUUCUUUUUUUUAUAAUAUUUGUGGAUGCUUAUUCUGACAAUCCUUUCCACAAUCCUUUACGGCAAUCGAUUGCCCAACUUGUCCCNUGAAAGAAAGUGAUUCUAGCACAAGCGUGGGAUCGACACAAUGCAAUCAUGGAGCAAAUGGAGCCCAGUCUUAAUUUGGAUUUUGAUGCCUAUUGGUGAUUCACAGGCCCAAGUAAAGAAGUUUUUCCUAUUAUUUGGGGGUUGUAAUGUCAAAGAUUCUUUUUGGUUGUUGUGGUUGUUGUGAAUUAUAUAUAUAUAUAUAUAUAUAUAUAUAUUUUUUUUUUGAGAGAUAGAUAGGAUGUUAUACGCUUCGUUUAUUUUAUUUAGAAAUAAACUUAGCUGAAAAUGUGAAUGAACUAGGAUUCGAAUUUAGAACUUCGGGUACCAAUCAUCAAGUCCUUUAUCACUUGCAUUAAGAACAGUCGGUUAUACAUGUUUGUAAUUGAUCAACAAAAUGUUGAACACCUAGCUAAUUGAAGAUUCGUUUAUUCAAAUAGGAAUAGGAAUUGGAAUCGGAAUCGAAAUCAAAAUAAGUUGGAAUCGGAAUCGGAAUGACUCAUUACUUAAUUCUAUUUGGUUUAUCACCUGAAUCGGAAUCGGAAUAAAUCAUUCCCAUUGUCGGUAUUUGGUUCAGGUGGAUAUAAAAAACGUAAUCAAAUUAAUAUACUAAUAUUGUCUUUAUAAUAUAUUAAUUUAAAUUCAAAUUAAAAAUUAAAUAUUAAAACUUUACAUCAAAAUUUUGAAAUAAUGUCAAAAUUUUAAAUCUAUUCUUUUAAAAAAAAUUUAAACUUUGAAGUUGAGUGGAUAAUUCAAAAUAUGAAACUAAAUUUUGAUUUAUCCAAAUUCAAACUUAAAAUUACAAUUUAAAAUUUAAUUUGAAUCCAUAAAUUUAAUUUAAGUUUGAAAUAAAAUUUGAAUAAAACUUUAUAUAAAUUAAAAUUUAAUUUAAAUUCAAAUUCAUAAGUUAGAUUCGAAAUACUUAAUUAAAUUUUAAUUUUUAAUUUAAGUUCAAAUUAAAAUUUAAAAUUAUAUAUUUAAUUUUUAAAUUUUAGCUCAUAGUUUAAUUAAAAAAGUUGAAAAAAUAAAUUUAAUCGGAAUAAAUAUCCAUUCCGUCCGGAUUCAACUUCCAAUCCGAUUUCCUAGGCCGGAUUGAAAAUAGAGGUGAUUGGGGAAUUCCCAUUCCACUCAGGAAUCGGAAUCGGAAUGGGACUCCCGCGUACCAAACACCCACAAACGGAUUCACCUAUUCCGAUUCCGAUUCCAGAGUGAAAAAGAAGCGAACCAAACACGCCCAUAUGCUAUUGAGGUACUGUUUUAUUAAAGAAGACACAUAUAUAGCUAGGGCAUAAUGGUAUAUACUAGGAUGUAAAUGGUCAAAGUUAUUUGUGUUAAGCUGUACUUGUGCAGGAGUAAGGUACAUUAAAUCUAGUCAAAUUUAUCACUCUGAGUAACGGUUAUAAGGUUCAAUGCAUUUUAAUAUUGUCCAUAACAAAUUUAACUCUGUUAAUCUUAUUAUCUUAGAAAAAAUUGUAGAAAUUUCUUGGUACGUUAAAGGAUAAUCUUCGCUGAGUCAUAUGACUUCUGGAGUACGUAGCUUUAAUUUGUAUCUAACACAAAAGUAGUCAACAAAUGAAGCCUUAGGAGUUUUUAAAUAUGAUGGAUCAUGUAUGAAAUAAACUUCUCAAUCUUACAAAGAGAAGCUUCAAUUUGAAGAUUUAGUUUCUUUUAUGAGAAUUGUUAAAGAUUCUCUUUCAAAUUUGAACAAAAAUGCUUUUGGCAGUUAUUUGAUUAGGUUUUUAUUGAAUAAAUUUACAAGAAAAAGCACUUCGAUCGACAAAGAAAAGCAAAAAAACAUUUUGUUGUGAAGUUUUAGUAUAUAUGUACCACAUACACCAUUAUUUAUUGACAUGUCCGGCCAUUAAGUUGGUCACACUGAUAUUAUUCUGAUUAGCCCGUUUAAUUAGGUUUUGAUCUUACUAUGAAGAUUAAUUUCAUAAUCAAAAUUCAUAGAGCAUGUAGGGUACAACUUUACUAGACAAGUUGAAUAUACAAAGAGGAACAUAUAUAUAUAAGAAGACCAAAUCUUACCACACAGACCAAAAAGUUAUAGAGAAUAUCACAUUUGGUAUUAAAGAAAAAUAAUUGCAUGACUACCUGUAGUAUUCAAUAUAUCGUUCUUAUCUAUCGAUGAAGAUCAUUGCUAUAUUUAGGAGAUUCUCAUACCAGAUAAUUUAGAAGGUAAUAGUGACCUUGAAGAACAAUAAAUUAAGGUGUGUUACUAGAAAAUGAAAAAGAUUUGCUCUGCAAAUCGAGGUCUAUUAAAAUUAUUGGAUUUACCACCAUGGUUUGAAAGUGAUCCUAUGAGAAUGAAAGGUUUGACGUAUUCUUGAUUGAGCUCUAACAUCGAACUAACGCGCUAUUUUUAAGUUAAGUUUACUAUACUAACGAGCAGUUUACACAUCUGUAAAAUUAUUAGGUAUAUUGAAUGAUUCAAGCAUUAAUCUAUACACAUUUAUCUAUUACAUAUAAUGAAUCCUUAGUUUUUACAGGGGUAGCGCGAACGGGAGUGGGGUGGGGUGGGCACACCCCUUUUUUAAUUUUUUAUUUUAUUUUAUUUUCUCUCUUUCUAUUGAUUUGGAGAAGCGGACUUUUUUUGUUUAAUCCAAUUUAAUUUUUCUCUCUGGUUAUAAAAAUUUAAAAUAUAUAAUUAUUUAUGUAUAUUUUUAAAUAGUUUACAUUGCAUGUACUAAAUAUAAAUUUUACUUUUAUAAUAUUGAUCACUUAGAUAUAGAUUGUACAAUAAAAAAUAAAAAAAAGAUGGAUAGAGUUUGAAUUAAUUACUUAUUUAAUAAAUUUAGUCGUAAAAAUUACAUGAAGUACUAAUUAAAUCUGUAAAACUAAACGACGCAUUCAAAAUUUGAAAUCAAAGUAUCAUGAACUGAUGCAAAUCUAACAUAUAAAAAUGUUAGAUAGUAAAAAUAAAAUCUUGAAAGGUUGGAUAACUGAUUUAAAAUAGUUUAUCGUUCAGAAAAGUUCUGUACGUUUUUACUUUGAUUUUAAUGUCAAACUUAGUAUCAUAUUUAUAGUUUGAUGAGCGAUCAAUUUCACAUUUAAAAUAGUUUAGAAUAUCCAAAAUAUAAUUAGUCGAUUUUUAAUUUUAACAAUUGAGUGUUCUAAAAUUUAUUAGAUAGUUUAACAUAUUUUUUUCUCAAAUAAAAUUACUAAUUGAAUACAACCGAUCGAUACUCAAUUCUGUCUUUUUUUUAAAUAAAAUUAAAAUAUAAAAAGAAUUUAAUGACUUAUAUUUUCUUGCUCAAAGUAUGAGACACGUGAAGCUUUAGUUCUUAAACUUUAAUGAGUUGCAAUUUCAGACUUACUAAGUAAUUCUUUUUUAUCCUUUUUAUAUUUUUAUUCUUAUACUUUUACUGCAACAGCUGUUCUUUUUUAUAAUUUUUUAACAUUUAUUUGUUUCUAUGGAAUCGACUGUCGUACAGUGCGGAUACCUUCACUAGUAUAGUUUAAGUAUCCGACGAAAUCGAUGACGGGUUCGGCCACCACACUUCCACUAAGAAAAACAUUGUAGCUCACAUUUGUUUAGCUUGGACUCGUUUUUAGUUAGGAGGAUUAGGUCCAUUAAUUGAACCUCUUUAUACAAACAUUCAAAGCCCAAUAAUCACUUGCACAUAAAAUCAUUCUAGAGUAAGAUCUGAUAAUGCAAAAUUUGUCAAAUCACCCAUGCAUUUGAAGGGUAAUGAUUGUUCCUUUCCCUCUUUGGUAUGACAAUUAGGUGAUCCGCGUACCUGAUCAUUUGCGUCCACUCGAAUUUGUGUACAUUUAAAGGAAAAUUGCAGCUUUAGAGGAGAAAGAUGAAUAGAUCUCAUGUGACCCAACUCGACAGGACCCCACCCAGUUAGACACAAUCACUGAGUAAGGAUUCGGCACCCACGCGCAAAGGACCCAACAUUGUCCUCCUCUCUCUUUUCAUUGUCCGACAACAAUUAAGUUUUAACUAAAGAAGAUCGCAAAGUGACUGUUGUUAAAAGCAGAAGCCGAAAUAUAUAGUUCUGCGUAUACAUUUAGUACCCGUGCUACGUACACAUGAUCAUUUCCUAUUUAUGUCCAAGAAGGGUUCCAAUUAAUAUUUUUCGACAACUUAUUUGGUGCUUUAUGAAUGAAACUUCCAUAUUCCCCUUUUUUUUUAAAAAAAAAUGCGUAAUUAACAUCGUAUUUGACAAAGUUUCUUAAUUACUCAUUUGCUAAAAAUAAUUUAAAUCAAAACACAUGUAACUUAUUAGAUUGGUGAAUAGAUAUACAAAUACAAUAAACACAAACUAUCUACAAGUUUUGUUGAUUGGAUGGCAUGUUACGCGCUAGCACUAUUCGCUUAAAGUAUUAUUUGAUCAGUACUGUGAGAAAAAAGUAUUAUAUUAAAUAAUUUUUAAGAGGAAUUUUCUAUUUUUCACAUUUAGAAUAUUUGUUUCGAUUUUAAUUUUGUUGCGUGGAGUUGUAUUAAUUUAAAGGUUUGAAAAGAGAUAUAAAAAUGCAGUCAAAUAGGUUCUUUGGGAACUAUACAUGACAACGAUAGGUGAAUGUCAAACUCUUUUAUAAAAUAAUUUAUGAGUUACUUAUUUUUCUCAAUCUGAAAGUGGUGACUUAUAAACUAUAAACUUUAUGGGUUGACUAUCAUAAAGUCAAAUUAAGUGAUAUAGCUAUAAAUUAACUUGUUUCCAAACUAUAAACAAAUUAGGUGUCAACAACUAAUUAGUGCUAGGGAUCUCAAAAAAAAAAAAAAAAAAAGUCGGUUCUUUUUUUUUUUUCCAAAGUUAAUUGUUAAUUAGGGCAUAAUCCUAUUAAAUUAUUAAAGAAUUAAAGAAGAGUACAAAAAAGAUUCUCCAAUCCAUAAUAAAACUCGAUUUUGAAGAUAUUGUGCCCGUUGAGUGUUGGAGAAUUAGUAGUAUAUAUUACCACAUACAUGCAUGCUUUGAGCCUUUGACAUACACCUGUGCAGUACAAUUGCAUUUCGCUACAUUAAUUAAUGAAAUCUUUGAUUAGAGGAGAUGAUAUUGUAGGAGAUGCAUACUUUUUAGGAACAAAUCAAAUUUAUAUAUUAAUUUGACCAAAAAUCAGUGAAUAAUGAUCAAAUUUAAUAAAUUUAUUUAGUUAAUAAUAAGUUUUAAUGUGUUAAUACUAACACCAUUUAGUUAGGUAUCGCACAAAUCCGAAUAGUUGAAUGUGUUGAAUAUAAAUAUUUAAAUUUCCAUUCUCUCAUUGCUUAAGUUUUUGAAAAAUAAAUAAUACUUGUUUUAUAUGAUUUAACAUGAUAUCAGAUCAGGGGAUUAUGAGCUUGAAUCUCACUUACUUUAAGCCCAAUUAUUUUAUAUAAUAUAACAAAAUUAUCGAUUAAUUAUUAAGCACCACAUUACAAAGCUGACUCCAUUAUAUAUAAUUGGGGUAUAUUUUGAGAUACCUAUUCAAUUCGCACCUGCACCAAACCCAACUCAGGAAAUGGAUUAGUUUCUCAUUGACCAGAUUAAAAUUUUCUCAUUGACAAAAUUAAAAUUUAAAACCCAUGAAUAUUAAAUAAAGCUCGAUUAUUCUCAUAAGAUUCCUCAACCAACUACCAACGAAAAUACUCCCCCUGCAUAUUUGGAAAGGAAAACUUCAAACAUGUCCUACGAAUCAACUAAAACAUGUUUAGUUAUGAAAAACUUCAUGGCUUACCAUUUUCUGUACGUUGGGGCAGUUGCCCGUGGCCCACAAGAUGGAAAUUUGUUCUGUGUAUUUUGAUGGUCUAAUGUUUAAUUUCUUUUGAUUCAUUUUCUAUUAGGAAAAGAAAAUGCUUCGUCAUUCGAUCAUUUUUAUUAGCUGCCUAUUAUUUAGGCUCAGUGUAUUCAAUAUUCAUACAUCCAUACACCAUAUUAUUAUCUUGCCGUCGUCUGUAAUUCAAAAUAUCAGCUUUAUACGAAGCAAUUAAUCCAGAUGUAGUCUUAACAGAAUAGCUUGCGUGUAAGUUAAAAGUCACAGUCAUGGAUACAUGAAAUUAAUCGAAUGCAAAAUCUCUUAAAAGUUAAAACUGAGGGAUCAAAACCAACCUCAUAUCGUACUAUAAGAAAUUGUGCAGCGCUAAUUCUAAUACUAUACUUUUCUUAUUCAUUGCUCUUUUUCUUACAGAGAAAUAUAUCAUGCUAUUCGUUUUGUUUAUUCUUCUAAAAAAAAUAAAUUUGAUUUAAAAUGUGAAACAAUUAAGUUUUAUAUUUGAAACAUUGAAUACCAGCUGCUAUCAAUCUCUUUGAUACAUGCGCUAAUUAAGGGAGUUCGAUUCUUUCGUACUUUUCAAUCCCUACCGCGUACACACUAAAAAUUGCUAAAGUUUUUUUUUUUGGUUUUUUGGUUUUUUUUUUGGUUUUGACUUAAAAUUAAAUAGUGAGAAACUGGUAAUAAAGUGUACGAAUACACGGAUACACCGAGCGCAUGCGAUAAUUUCCUUAUUCCUAACAUAGGAUAGGAUCUUUGAGCACGUCCCCCGUAUCUUUGUAAUCUACAAAUGCUUGGCCCGAAACGACGUCCGCAUAAACCAACCCCAGGAUUUUCUCUGCACCCCACCAAGAUCUCUUCCUCUCUCCCACACUAUUUAUUAACACUCCCCCCCUCCUCCUCCCUUUCGAAAAUUAACCCAUACAACAGAAGCUAGCUAAUCCCAAAUUAAACCAAUGGCUUUCUCUCCCAUCUCCUGUUUCCUUAAGGUCACCUUCCUCGUCGCCAGCCUCAUCUCCAUCGUCGGCCAACUCCGGCCGCCGUGGCCCCGGUCGCUGCCCGACGACCUCCUCGCCCUCGACAUCGCCCCCCGAAUCCGCACCGACCCCGCCGCCGCCGCGCUCGCCUCCGCCGACUUCGGCAACCUCACCGCCGGCCGGCCGCCGCCUGCCGCCGUGCUGUAUCCGUCGUCGGCGGGCGACAUUGCCGCGCUGGUCCGAUCCUCGUACGCGUCCCCGCGGCCGUUCCCGAUAUCGGCCCGCGGGCACGGGCACUCGCUGCGAGGCCAGGCGACGGCCCCGGGCGGCGUGGUGGUCGAGAUGGCGGCGCUGGGGAUCGGGCGGUCGGAUCGGAUUAAUGUGUCGGCGGGGAGCAGCUGUGGGGGGACGUGCUGCGGGCGGCGCUGCGGCACGGGCUGGCGCCGCGCUCCUGGACAGACUACCUGCACCUCACCGUCGGCGGCACGCUCUCCAACGCCGGGAUCAGCGGCCAGGCGUUCCGCCACGGCCCGCAGAUCUCCAACGUGCUUGAAUUGGACGUGAUCACCGGUACGACCACACUGCUAGCUAGCUAUUUUUAUUAUCUCCUCACUUUUAUUAUAAAUAAAUUAGUCCAAUAUUAGUUAUAAACGUCACAUGUAGGUCGAUAGUUACCAGUUGCAGGAGAAUUAUCGCCUGCACCCGGUGCAUCCGUAUAUCUCGUGCUUCAGUUUAUUUAUUUAUUUAACCAUUAAUUAAACUAUUAAAUAAAAUAAAAAUGCUGCAUUUACGAACAUAGGAGGAUUUUGAGAUUUGUGAAUUUUGAGUUUUGACUAUCAAAAUUGUAUCCAAUGCCUACUAAUUAAUUAAUUAAUUAAUUAAUUAAUAGACGAUGGUGCACGGAAUGUACAAAUACACCGGGUGCAUCUAAGUAAUAGAAAGUCCCCAUAAUUUUAGCACCCACGUAACCACGUUCGCUCUCGCCGCUAAUGACCACGUCGGCACAUGCGCGUAACACAGGAACGGGCGAGACGAUCACGUGCUCCAGGGACCUGAACCCGGACCUGUUCUACGCCGUGUCAGGCGGGCUGGGCCAGUUCGGGAUCAUAAUCCGGGCCCGAAUUGCACUGGACCCUGCCCCCAGCAUGGUCCGGUGGGCCCGGCUCAUCUACACCGACGCCGCCGCGUUCACCGUGGACCAGGAGCGGCUCAUAUCCCCCAGGCUCGGCGGCGCCGGCGCCUCUCGGCUUCAGCUUGACUACGUGGAGGGCUCGAUCAUCGCCGACCACAGUCUCAUCGGGAGCUGGCGAUCAUCGUCCUUCUUCUCCGAGCCAGAUAUCGUGCGGAUAAGCGCGCUCGCAACUCGCCGUGCCGUCCGUACCGUGUACUGCAUCGAAGCUGCCAUUUACUACGAUGACAUGACCUCAGCUUCGGUCGAUCAGGUAAAAAUAAAUAAAAUUACUCUUGAUCUAUGUUAUCACUGUAGUAACAUUUUUAAGUUAAUUUACAUACGCACACGUUAAAAAUACUAAUAUUAUAUAAAUUCGUAAGAGUUAAAAAAUGGCAUACGUAAAUUGAUGCUUGGCUCCCAUAUCGUAAUAAAGAUCUCGUGUCUCUUUUCAUAGGACCCACGUGAUUCGGUCCACAGCGAGAGAUCCUCGUGUGUGCGCGUCCCCAAACAACCCGAAAUGGAAACUUUGGUCGUAAAUUUGAACUUUUGAGGUGUUGGGUUUCCAUUUUGGGCAGGUAUGGGUGCUUGUUGGGUGAGCUAAGGUGGUUCGCUGACCCAACAAGGCAACAACGUUGUCAACAACUGAGUCGGACCGAGCCAAGUUGUGGUUGUGGGUCAUAUGAGUUUGGGUUCGGUGCAUAUAUGCUACGUACGUGUGGUCCCAUAUUUGUUUUUUGGGGCCAAUAUGUGGAUAUAAAUGGGACGUGGAGCUUUUAUGCAUCUGUUCACCACGUCGUACUUGAGUCCCUCUUUUGUACGCACACAAUCUUUUUUUCCAAGUUGCUUUCGAGAUUCUCCACGCAUUUGUUUUCUACUUUUUGGAUGGCUUUAGUUUCUUUUUUUUUCAUCUUUCUUCCAGUGUCCUGCAUAAAAUAAAAUUAAAAAAAAAAAAAAAAAAAAAAAUUCUUAUAUGUGUAUCACGCGUCGCGCCACAAGUGGACAGCGAAUCGCCAUAAAAACAAAAUUUUAUGUGCAGGAAUUGCACCUCAUGGCAUAGUAGAGUUUACGUCAUGCAAGCCACUGUUUGUUGAUGAAAAGGAUAUAUCAUAUACAUGUCAGUGUUUGGAUCCUCACUUCCAUACAUAUUAGGAACAGCAACAUGCUAACACCAUUUGUGAUCAAUUAAUCAUUUCGAUUUUCCCCAUUAGAUGGCCCUCGUACUUUUCGAUCGGUAGCCUAAAUGAUCAGCAAAUAACUAAAUCACUUGAGAGGAAUCCAACUCUAGGACUUGAUGUCCUAUGCUGAAGAUUAAUUUGGUGUGUAUGAACAAAGGAAGAUCUGUUUCAACUUUGACAUUAAUUUCAUAUACCUACCGUAUAUUUGCUAUUAAUUAGAAUCUACAUUGACAAGUAAGGUUUCUUAACAGGAACUCAACUCAUUGCUUCAAGAGCUAAGCUUUGAGCCGGGGUUUGUGUUCACACGAGACGUGUCGUACGUGGCGUUCCUUGAAAGAGUCCACGAAGGCGAGCAAAAGCUCCGAUCGGUCGGACUAUGGGAUGUCCCUCAUCCUUGGCUAAACAUCUUCAUUCCCAGGUCUCGAAUACUAGACUUUGAUCGCGGAGUGUUUAAGGGAAUUCUUAAGCACAAUAAGGCCAUGGGCCCCAUUCUAAUUUACCCCAUGAACAAAAGCAGGUAAGUGCAUUCGUUACUCAAUUUUGUUCAAUAAGAAAAUCAAAAGUCUCAAGUUUGAAGAAAAGUAUUGUUUGAAUAGCGCCUACUAUCUUUCUUCUACGCUACUAACUUUCAUUUUCGCUACAACAAAAAACUGUAGACUUUUUAUGUAGCAAGAAAUGUUGUUCUAAAAAUCAUGACAAGUAGGCGCCGGUUCAUUGACAAAUUGAGAAUUCAUCUUAAACUGUGAUUAGUGCAUGAGUUAGUUGAGGGUCUUUUCUGCAGGUGGGACGAUCGGACGUCAGCAGUGGUCCCCGACGAAGAAGUUUUCUACACCAUAGGCUUGUUGAGAUCAGCAGUAAAUGAUGAUUUGGAAUUUUUGGAGGCCGAAAAUGCUGAAAUACUCCGAUUUUGUAAUGAGGCUGGUAUUGAACUUAAGAAGUACCUACCUCAUUACACAACUCAAAGUGAUUGGAUGAAACACUUCGGUCCAAAAUGGGGUAAGUUCGUGGAGAUGAAGAUGAAGUAUGACCCAAAAGCGCUCCUAUCUCCAGGGCAAAGGAUAUUUACCCCAUUGAUAGAGGGUUAUUCCACAGAGUGACUCAAAGAGAUUUACAUCUCAUUUUAGGUCGAAUACUUUGAUGUACAUCUUGUAAAAUGCUAGCCAUAGUUUGUAGAAAUUAAACUAUUCCACUUUUCGAGUCUUUGUUUGUCAAUCAAUGAUCUGCAUAUAAUUUUCUACAGCAUGAUUAAAUACAUUUAGGGUGUGCUUGGUUUAAUAUAUUGCUUUCCAUUCCGACUGUUUGAUCAAGGAGAUGCUCCUUUUCAGUUUCUAUUACAGGGUAGAAUAAGAAAAGCAAGCGAUCGACCUAAAACUGAGACAGUAGUGAAAAUGUGGAGUCAUUUUUGAACCUCAAUUGAAGUCUCAAUUCAGCUGCCGAAAGAGCUGCAACAAAUUCAAUCAAGUCAGAUCAUAGUUUCCAUCGAUUUUGAUUUCGCACGCCAAAACACUUGUAAAUGACAAAGAUUCUAAAUACGCCAAAAUAGAAUUCAAAGUAAGAACAGUGUGAUUGACACAGGAAAUUUAACUGGUUCCAAAGUUGUGCUCAAUCUUUUAGGUUGGAUCAUUUUAGAUGUCAAGAUGAUGUUUCUAGGUACUACAAAUUUGGAGGGGCUGGGCCAGUAUCGUUUGAGUGAAAGAAAAUAUGAUGGAACAAAACAUGUACUUGACUUUGGCCACCUCUAUUACAUCAUGGACCACUCUAUAAUAGCUUUGUUACCACUCUAUAAUAGUUUCUUUCGCCAGCAUGACAAAAUUUGUUGCUUUAAUCUCGUACGAGAAGAUGAAGAUUUGGCAAGUAAAGUUUUUUUUUUCUUAGUUUUAUGUGUGGAAAAUCCUAUUGACGGUAAUGAUAUUUUUUUGGCUGUUGCGCAGCUAAGUCUAUGACGAAAGUUACAUUACUUGCAUACAAACUAUUAGUGAAUAAGUAGAAUUUGCUCAUGAUUGUAUAAAAAAAAAAAUCUACAUUACGUUUGAAUAAUUUUUAGUUCAAAAUGAGACCUAAUUAGUAAAUAACUAGAAUUUGUUCAUCAUAGUAGGAGUAGGAAACAUGGGCUCGAACAAUUUGGCCCAAGAAAUGUUUAGAUUUAUGGACACGCCCAACAUUUGUUUAGGAUCCAUGUAUUGCAUUACGUGGGCUAAUUGCGAGGGGCUAAGUUUCACUGGUCGGACCAUUGGUUUCAAUGGUAAAUCUCUACUUUAUUAUUUGGUCCACUAUAACUUCAUCUUCGGGUAAAAAUUCAAAAAUUUCAAAAUAGCAUAAAUAAUUUCGACUUAGCUGAGAUCUAAGUCAAAGAUGAAAAAAAUAAAAUAAAAUAAAAUUAUUAAUCAUCUCUCACAGCUUUAAUUUUUACGCUAUUUAUUUUCCACCAAAUAAAUGAUAAAAUUGAAAAAAAUUAUUUCCACCAAUGUACAAAAUAAACAACAAAAUAGUCAUCAGGAAAUUUACUACAUGCGUGAACCAACCUGGUGUGUUGGGCGAGCAACGGACGAGGCCCGGGACCCCGCCCACUUCUACUUCUUCUUCUUCUGGAUACGAGUCGUUCGGAGGGCGAUGCAGUUCGCGGCGGAGGACCACCGCUUCCUCGUCCACCUCUCCCGCCUCCUCCGCCGCGAGAGAGGGGCGCGGCUAUGGCUCGGCGCCGCGCUCGUCUCCCUCCUUAUCCUCCUCCUCCUCCUCCUCGCGCCGCGGAUCCCCCAUUCCCCAUCCCUCCACAUCUUCGCCGACAUGCGCAACUUCCUCGGUUGUAACCCCCUCUCUCUCUCUCUGCAUCUCUCUACGAACCCUAAUCGUGCCCAAUUGCUUGAUCCCGCUUCCGCCGCAGGGGUGCCCAACACGCUCAACGUGCUCACCAGCUUCCCCUUCUUGCUCGUCGGAGUCCCCUCCCUCGUCCUCUCCCUCUCCGGGAGCUGCUUCGGGAUCAGGUGCGCUAGGGUUCCGCCGACGCUCGAUUUUCCUGGAAAUGUUCGGAGUUCCACUCCGAUUGUGCGCCAUUUUGGAAUAAACCCCUUAAAUUUUCGUUUUUAGUCAGGGGAUUUGUCAAAAUUAGAAACUUUGAUGGUCAUUGGCAGGUGACAAUCAAACGGAAUUCGCAAUUACCAUUUCAAAAGGGCCAAGUUUGCGAGGAGUUUCUUUUCAAAAUGGCGUACAUUUGAGGGGGUACGUGCACAUGUUGUACCCGUUCUCUUUCCCGGACCUGUUCUGUUUAUAUGGUUUGGUGACAAUUAGAUUACUAGGAAAGUGUUUGAUGGAUGUUCCGUGUGGGUUGUAGCUUGAAAGGAGAGGUCUUGGGUUGGGCUUUUUUCUAUGCGGGGAACUCGGCGUUGGCGUUUGGAUCCGCAUAUUAUCACCUUAAGCCGGAUGAUGAUCGAAUUGCUUGGGACAGGUUACCGGUAUAUACGAACCCAAUCUUCUAUAAUGUCCUUUUUAUUCUGCAUUGUUGUGUGAACAUUUGAGUUUGUGAUGUUGUAUUGUUAAAUGGAAGCAUCUGCCUAAUAGUAGUUGGGUUCCAGAUCUUUCUUCUAAUCUUCGAAUAUGUAGAUUUUUAUUCACUUCAGAGACUUUGGAAUUGUACUAUUUGUAUU
rnacentral:lncRNA from 1 species